rnacentral:rRNA from 1 species
GUUGAACGCUGGCGGCAUGCCUUACACAUGCAAGUCGAACGGUAACAGGUCUUCGGAUGCUGACGAGUGGCGAACGGGUGAGUAAUACAUCGGAACGUGCCUAGUAGUGGGGGAUAACUACUCGAAAGAGUGGCUAAUACCGCAUGAGAUCUACGGAUGAAAGCAGGGGAUCGCAAGACCUUGUGCUACUAGAGCGGCCGAUGGCAGAUUAGGUAGUUGGUGGGAUAAAAGCUUACCGAGCCGACGAUCUGUAGCUGGUCUGAGAGGACGAUCAGCCACACUGGGGCUGAGACACGGCCCAGACUCCUACGGGAGGCAGCAGUGGGGAAUUUUGGACAAUGGGCGAAAGCCUGAUCCAGCAAUGCCGCGUGCAGGAUGAAGGCCUUCGGGUUGUAAACUGCUUUUGUACGGAACGAAAAGCCCUGGGUUAAUACCCUGGGGUCAUGACGGUACCGUAAGAAUAAGCACCGGCUAACUACGUGCCAGCCGCCGCCGUAA